CUGGAAUUUGAGUAUAUGGGAUCAAUUUCCCAGCUUCUAAAUGACAACACAUACAAUCCCAGUUUUGAUUUCCAGAACAUCAUGAGCAAUGCUGAGACUGAUCAUGUUGAAAAUUUUCAGCUAGGAGAAAUGGGUAACCAGUAUACAGAUUCAGGGAAGUUCCAGGUGAAUCAGGGCAGCAUCCUAAACCAACCAUUGUUUGUGGAUCCAAUGGUCUAUGAAUUUCAGUGAU
rnacentral:misc_RNA from 1 species